AUUGAACGCUGGCGGCAGGCCUAACACAUGCAAGUCGAGCGAGCGGCGGACGGGUGAGUAUUGUCUGGGAAACUGCCUGAUGGAGGGGGAUAACUACUGGAAACGGUAGCUAAUAUCGCAUACCAUCAGAUGUGCCCACAUGGGAUUAGCUAGUAGGUGGGGUAAUGGCUCACCUCGGCGACGAUCCCUAGCUGGUCUGAGAGGAUGACAAGCCACACGGGAACUGAGACACGGUCCAGACUCCUACGGGAGGCAGCAGUGGGGAAUAUUGCACAAUGGGCGCAAGCCUGAUGCAGCCAUGCCGCGUGUGUGAAGAAGGCCUUCGGGUUGUAAAGCACUUUCAGCGGGGAGGCGUUACCCGCAGAAGAAGCACCGGCUAACUCCGUGCCAGCAGCCGCGGUAAUAC
rnacentral:rRNA from 1 species